rfam:Chryseobacterium arachidis strain DSM 27619 genome assembly, contig: Ga0131169_101
UCAUAGCCCCGAUUGGCGCGGCAUCCUUUUGGGUUGCGGCGGUGCGAAGCGGAGCCGUAACCCAAAAGAUAUAGCAGAAAGCGGGAUAAAGC